UACGUAGGGGGCAAGCGUUGUCCGGAUUUAUUGGGCGUAAAGAGCGUGUAGGCGGCCAGGUAGGUCUGCUGUGAAAACUCGAGGCUUAACCUCGAGCUGUCGGCGGAAACCAUCUGGCUAGAGUCCGGAAGAGGAGAAUGGAAUUCCCGGUGUAGCGGUGAAAUGCGCAGAUAUCGAGAGGAACACCUGCGGCGAAGGCGGGUUGCUGGGCUGACACUGACGCUGAGGCGCGAAAGCUAGGGGAGCGAACGGG
rnacentral:rRNA from 1 species